AGUUUCGAAUCAUUCACAAUGGGCGAAAGCCUGAUGGUGCGACGCCGCGUGAGGGAUGAAGGUCUUCGGAUCGUAAACCUCUGUCACUGGGGAAGAAACGCUAUGCGUAAACAGCGCCUAGCCUGACUUAACCCGGAGAGGAAGCAGUGGCUAACUCUGUGCCAGCAGCCGCGGUAAUACAGAGACUGCAAGCGUUAUUCGGAUUCACUGGGCGUAAAGGGUGCGCAGGCCGCUAUGUGUGUGAGGUGUGAAAUCCCGGAGCUUAACUCCGGAACUGCGCCUCAAACUACAUGGCUAGAGCAUUGGAGAGGGAAGUGGAAUUCACGGUGUAGCAGUGAAAUGCGUAGAUAUCGUGAGGAACACCAGAGGCGAAGGCGACUUCCUGGACAAUUGCUGACGCUCAGGCACGAAAGCGUGGGGAGCAAA
rnacentral:rRNA from 1 species